GCGCCAGUAGCCCAACGGAUUAGAGCAUCUGACUACGGAUCAGAAGGUUACAGGUUCGAAUCCUGCCUGGCGCA
rnacentral:tRNA from 1 species